rnacentral:sRNA from 1 species
AGUAAAACAAUAAAUGUCGAUGGCAUGCCAUUAUAAAUCAGUGUCAGGAUUUAUUUAUUAAAGUGGCUGCAAAAAUGUAUAUGUAGAUGACGCUAAAUAUAAAUAUAUUCAGAAAAUACAGAAAAUGAAUACAAUUUAA